CCUACGGGUGGCAGCAGUGGGGAAUAUUGGACAAUGGGGGGGAACCCUGAUCCAGCGACGCCGCGUGAGUGAAGAAGUAUUUCGGUAUGUAAAGCUCUAUCAGCAGGGAAGAAAAUGACGGUACCUGACUAAGAAGCCCCGGCUAACUACGUGCCAGCAGCCGCGGUCAUACGUAGGAUCCGAGCAUUAUCCGGAGUGACUGGGUGUAAAGAGUUGCGUAGGUGGCAUAAUAAGUAGCUAGUGAAAUCUGGUGGCUCAACCAUUCAGACUAUUAGCUAAACUGUUAAGCUCGAGACCGUUAGGGGUAACUGGAAUUUCUAGUGUAGGAGUGAAAUCCGUAGAUAUUAGAAGGAACACCAAUAGCGUAGGCAGGUUACUGGGACGGUUCUGACACUAAGGCACGAAAGCGUAGGGAGCAAACGGGAUUAGAUACCCCAGUAGUC
rnacentral:rRNA from 1 species